UGUGUUGAGAUGAGCUGCUAACAUGUGGGAAGAUCACUUUAGAUGGAUCUUAACUGAAAUGUACUUGUUACGUUGGCUUCUAAGCUUU